rnacentral:rRNA from 1 species
GAUGAACGCUAGCUACAGGCUUAACACAUGCAAGUCGAGGGACCGGCGCACGGGUGAGUAACACGUAUCCAACCUGCCCUUUACUCGGGGCUAGCCUUUCGAAAGAAAGAUUAAUACCCGAUGUAAAGGAUGGGGAUGCAUUCCAUUAGGUUGUUGGUGAGGUAACGGCUCACCAAGCCUUCGAUGGAUAGGGGUUCUGAGAGGAAGGUCCCCCACAUUGGAACUGAUGCCCGGUCCAAACUCCUACGGGAGGCAGCAGUGAGGAAUAUUGGUGAAUGGGCGUUAGCCUGAAACAGCCAAGUAGCGUGAAGGAUGAAGGCUUAUGGGUCGUAAACUUCUUUUAUAUAAGAAUAUGUAUUAUAUGAAUAAGGAUCGGCUAACUCCGUGCCAGCCGCCGCGGUAAUUC